CAUCGUCGUUAGACUAUUAUAACGAAUGCAAGAAUAUAAUUGAGACAGUCAUUUAGAGAAUUAUUUUAAAAAUAGAAAAAUAUCGAUGAAUGAAGUAUCGAAUGAAUUGCAGAGGAAUUAUUACAAUGCAAACAACACGUUACCGAUAAUUGAGAUCCAAAAGUAAGAACAAGGUAGAAAGAUUAAAUUUCGUAUGCAUAGAGUUAGUAAAUGAAUGGAGGGUAUAGAUAAUGCGCGAGAUAAAGACAGAUAAAUACUGUAUUAUCAAGGGGUGCUUUAUCAUCACAAAAGAACACGAACCAAUGUCAUUAGAUAAGUGAUCUAUAGUCUCGAAUAUAGACUGUUCAUUUAGAAUGGUCUUUUUCAUAUUGAAAUGGGUAAAAAAAGUGCCUCGCAUUCUAUAACUGAUGCGAAAAUGAUUCGCGUGUACGUGCUGAUUAAGCUUGUGUCAAUUCAGCAGCAAUAGGGGGUCACGUAUGUAUCUGUGAAUGUUCUGUUCGAAUAAAAACUGUUCGGUCGGUUUAAAUCUUUCGAACCGUAAAAAAUAUCUCUCCUCGAAUAUUUCUUUCUCAAAUAUAUUACUUUUACCUGAUUUUCAAAGUUCUCGAUCGUUGAUAUAUCAAAUAUAUCUUACGUGUAAUUCGUAUACUCAAGUUUACGGCUGUCUAUGCAAGCAAAUGCACCGUGCACGCACGUGAUUACAUCGCGACUGCAUCUAUCAAGAGGAACGAUCGAUGGGAUAUAUUAUAUAUAUAAUAUAUUAUAUAUUAUAGGUACAACCGGAACACAGAGAGACAAUUGUUAAACAACGCAAUUAAUCCUUAACUGACGAUGUUUCGUUCCUUUGUUUUACACUCGUUGUCACGUUAUCAAAUAUCACGAUUAAACGCGCAAGGGGUUAAUUGAAUAAUUAAAAGAAUUAUAAUUAUUCAGCGGACAAUGUUACAAAGAUAAAGUCUUUAGUAUAAAACUAUUAAUACUUUUAUACUAUUAUAAAAUAUUAGUAUAAAAGUUAGAUAUUAAUGGUGGGUAAAUCAUACAUAACAGAUCGUCAGUUAAGAAUCAAUCAAACCGAUCCACCCUCUGCUCGUUUUCCAAAAAACAAAGAGAGAUGAAAGAACAUUGGCAAGGAACGAGGAACACGCAACAGAGAGUAGAAGGCCAAAGAGAGAUGAUAUUCACAUCAACGACAGAGUUGUUCAAUUGGUGUUAAGCACGUGGUGUUGCGAUUAAGUACAGGUGUUAAUUCGUCGAAGGUGUCCAGGAUCGAUCGAUCCGAUGGCUUUGCGUAGAAAAUCGUCGGUUUUGGACAAGGAUUGGACUGCACUCGGAAAUAUUCAACGACGGAAAUGUCCAAUUCGAUACAAAGUGACAACGCGUAUCGCAACGUCGUGUCGUUCGAAAAGAUUUGUACAACAAUCGAUUACGGAAACUACGAUUCGUUAAGUUAUUGCUUUCUGAGUGCGCUGUGCGACGACAAUAAUCGACGAAAGCUCGCGGACGAUCGUUUCGUACGUAAAUCCUAAGAAACAUUAAUAUAGAAUAUAUUAUCGUGUAGUUUAUAUAAGGUAUACGUUAAGACACUUACCAUCUACUGCAAAAAUUCAACAGUUAAAAGAUUGUAACAACUAGUUCGUAUAAUUCCGUACGAGACGGAGAUGCUCGAUCGAUAUUCUCGUUCUGUUUUCAUUCUCAUCGAGAAACACCGUCGGUUAAUUAUUAAUUAUUAAUUAAUCGAAUCACUCGAACGAAGGAACAACUCGAUAAAGGAAGAGUAUACACGAUCGAGCAGAUCCGACUGCAGAUUCGCAGCCUCCGGUCUCUCAAUUCUUUCGCAUCCUCUUAAAACGCUACAUCCCCGUCCCGUUGCUCGUUAUCAUCAUCUUUUGGCACGCAUUGUUUUUUUUCUUUUUUUUUUUUUUUUGUUUCUUCUCCCUCUCGCUAUUGGCACGACAUUUACGAACAAUGAGCUUGCUAGAAUUUAAUUAAUUAAUUAGAAUAAAUCUCGGACGCACCUGAGAUCGAUCGUUCGGACGAUACGACGUAUAAUAAUAAAAAGACCUUUGCUAUAUAUCGCACGUAUUAUGCACCACCGUAUACUUAAAUACAGAAUGCCAAUGAAUCGCGUUUACACGUUCGGCUCGAGAAGGCUCUACGUCCGUUUCACGAAAGGCAAUCCGUUCGCAAAGCGAUAAAGUGACCCCCUCCCACCCCUGUAAUUGCGUAAUUUACCUAUUUGUUCCACCAUUGUUUAUUUCUUCUUUUUUUUUUUUUUUAUUUAUUUCUCUCGUCUUCUUUCGAAAUAUGAUCUACGUCCGAGACGUUUCACGUGGACCAUAUGGGACCAAAAUCGUUCUAUAACGAUGCACACGCGAAUGAAAGGAAAGGAUUCGUAUUUUUGGUUGCUCGUUCCCGCGACGUGUCUUAAAAGCUAUGGAAAUUAUUCUAAAUACGCGGCCUCGUAGAACGAUCAACAUCUAAAAUGGAAUAAUCAAUCGAGCGGUUAUCAAAAAUAGAAUUAUCAUUAUAAAUACAAUAUACGCAACGCACCGAUAUACCAACGAUCAACAAUCCGUCGUUCCGCCAUAGGGUGUCCAUACUAAUUGGGGAGCGCUAUCGCGGCACGACCGUGUACCAAAAAUACUAUUAUCACGCGUAGGGCGGAGGCAUCGCGUCCGCGUGCAUGCACGAAAGUUCGAAAAAAAAGAAAAAAAAAAAAAAAACGAA